rnacentral:lncRNA from 1 species
GAUGCGCUGGAUUUUCAAUUUGUGCUGUGUGAUCCGGAGAUGUACAGUACUGUAAGCACGGUGUGUUUGACCUUCAUACAAACAUCUGGCCUCUCUGGGUAUUAUGAUGUACCAGCAGGCCUUCUCCCUCCGCUUUUGUGCGUUCGCCUGAAUAUUGCAGCAGA